CUGCAGAGCUGCUGCUUGGCCAGUCAGUCCCCAGCCUGUACUUGUGCAUAGGAUUGUUCCAUUCUAAGUGCAGGACAUUUGCACUUGUCCUUACUGAACCUCAUGAUAUUUGUUUUGGCCCAAUCCUCCAAUUUGUCUAGGUCUGUCUGAAUCCUAGCUCUACCUUCCAGUGCAUCUACUAGGUCUGUUGGGGAGGCUUCCUGCUCUGCAGAAGUUUGGCCCAUGUAGCAAGAACAAGAGGCGGGAGUUUGCCCCUCCACUGAACCUUACCAGAAUCAGCAAAACUGUGAUGGGUUUGGAAGGAGUGCACUUUUCUUUUCUGGUGGAGGAACACUGGGAGAAGCUGGGCUACCUGAAGAAUAGCUGGACAUAAGAGAUCCAUCUCCACCCAACUCACUGACAGGCUGGCUAUCUGGCAAUACACCCAACAUAGUUGUGCUCUACUGAAUCUCACACCCUUCUCAGCAUCAGCAAACCCCUGUGAAUACAGGCAGUCCUCGACUUACAACGUUUUGAGUUACAACGUUUUGCACUUACAACAUUUAUAAACUGACACUGUUUCAACUUUACAACACUUGAUCUUACACCAAGCCACACCAGCAAAUAAGUUUGCUGUGUCACCCAUCUACCUGGAGAAAAUCUGUCCAAACUUUCUUGGACACUUUCUUUAAGAAAGCAAACAAGACUCCAGAAAAAACCUGCAGACAAGACUCCUGAGAAGACUCCAGCCAAGAACCCUUCAAAAAGUCCAGCCAAGACCCUUUCAAAAUGUCCAGCAAAGUCACCUCAAAGAUGUCCUUCCAAAUCAACAUGAUUGGUAUUUACAAUAUAAAUACAUUAAUGUAGCUAUAUUACUAAUCUAUAAUUGAUCAAGUACAAAAUUCUGGAGCAUUUUUGGUGAAAAUAGGGUCUUGGGCCUUAGUCUGGGAACCAAUUCCCCCAUUUAUAAUGUUGUCUCCUAUGGUAAAAAUCAGUUUUGAGUUGCAACAUUUUGACUUAAGGUUCGGUUUUCAGGAACUAAUUGUGUCAUAAGUCUAAGGACUGCCUGUAUAAAUUCAAGUGCCUAACUUCAGGUGCUCAAAUUUGGAAGGAUUGGCCUUUGUCAGAGUUAAGGUUUUUUUCAACUGAUAGCAAUUCCCACAUCCUUGAAUCUGAGCUAAAUU
rnacentral:lncRNA from 1 species